GUCAAAGUGAAAUUUCUCGAAAGCCCAAGUUAAUUACACAUACUACUGACCAGACCUGAUAAAAAAUGAAUGAGAGUGGAAGUAGGCGAGGAUAAAAAACAACCAAGAUAAAGGACGUUAAUGGCACAGCAAGACAUGCGGAAACAACGCUCCAAGUAGCUUGACUUGUUGACUCGGUUACUUUUGUUGGUGUGGAGUUGUAAGCAACAUGAAGAAAACCAGGAAUUCAAGGAUUACCCGGAUAAAAAAGAAAAUGUGCAACUCAAGUAUAGACAUAAUUAGUCAUCUUCCAGGCAAUGUACUAGAAAAAAUCUUAAUGUGUUUGCCUAUACAAGAUGCAGUGAGGACAAGUAUUUUGUCAAGGAAAUGGAGAUAUGUAUGGGUGAAACUUCCUCAACUGGUAUUUGAUGAUUUGUUCUACAGACAUUUUCACAAAACACCGCAUGAUAAACUUUUGAUGAUUAUUUAUCAAGUUAUGUUACUUCACCGUGGACCAAUAAUCAAGUUCGCACUCUGUGUAUCUGGUCUGCAAAGUUGUUCUGAGAUCGACAAUUUGAUACUUGUUGUUUCAAACAAUGAUAUCCAGGACUUCACCAUUCGCAUUUGGAAGGGGGAACCUUAUAAGUUGCCAUCAUCGCUAUAUACGUGUUCGCUACUGAAGCAUUUGAAUAUCCGUUCUUGUAUUCUUAAACCUCCUCCUGGAUUUGAAGGAUUUAACAGGCUUCUUUCCCUCUAUCUUUAUGAUGUUGUCAUUGCUGAAGAUGUGCUUUCACAUCUGAUCUCUAGUUGCCCACUACUUGAAGACCUGACCCUUCAGAGUUCCACCAGUUUAGAUUCCCUUGAAGUUGUUGGUCCUAAUCUUAAAUCCGUGUGCUGUGAGGGCCAUUUCAGAUCUAUUUGUUUUUCGAAUACUUCUCAUCUUGCGAACGUCUCAAUAUAUUUGCAAGGAUCGAGAAAUAAGCUAUUCUUAAGCGAAGGAGAAAUAUCUAGCUCUGUCGUGCUUCUUGGCAGUGUACCUGUCAUUGAGUUUCUGGAAUUGGACUUCUGCAUUGUUAAGGGCAUAGCUGCAUGUGGUGUACCAACGAGUCUUCCAACUACUCUGUACAACCUGAAAAAUAUCAUUGUGUAUGAUAUUUGUUUAGGGGAACGAGAUGAGGUCUCCGUUCUUAUAUGCUUAAUUAGAAGCUCCCCGAUUUUGGAAGAGAUUACUAUUUAUGCAUUUCCCGGUCCGACAUCUGCUAUUCGUGCUGUUUUAGAUUUUUCGGAAGUGCAUGGCUGUUCGGAUGUCUCUUUGAAUCAACUUCGCAAAGUGGAUAUGAACAAUGUCUCUGGCACGAAACCUGAAUUGGAGUUUAUUGAGCUUUUGUUAGCAAAAUCACCGAUGCUGGAGGUGAUGCUUAUCGAGCUGAACGCACAGAAUAUUGCUGAUCAUUUGCGAAUUGUGAAAGAAUUGACUGGAUUUCGACGUGCAUCACCUCAAGCAGAAAUGAAAUUCGUAGAUCAAGAUGAAGAUUAAAGUCUAACUGUCGCAUUGUGUCUUUUUUGAGCAGGAAAGUACAUUGCUAGUUAUGGCUGAGGUUGGGGACAGGAAUACUUGUUAUUUCCAUGUGGCAGACACUCUGAAAUCAAGGAAAAAGAAGAUUGCAUUUCUUGUUUGCAAUGAUGCAAGAUGUAUCACUGAUCCCAAAGGGAUUAGGGAUGAGGUUCUGAACCACUUCAUGGGAAUUUUUAAAGCUCAAGGGUGGACAGAUUUGCUGGAUCCAAAGGCAGUGGAUGAUUACCCCAGUAACUUCAAUAUUUUGUAUGCCAUUCAGUGUCAGCUUACAGAGGAGCAACUAAUGCAGCUGAGAUCAACCAUUCAACCUCUUGUCAAGCAUCUUUUAUUGGCAAUGGGCAAUGGGCUCUCUACUCUCUUAUCGUGGGAUAAUUGGCACCCUAGUGGACCUCUACAUGUCCUUUCACCAGGUUUUGGGUAGGUCUCAGGUGGCAAAAGUAAGUUCCACUAUUGCUAAUGGAAGGUGGAAAUGGCCCAGCCCAGUCCUAGGAGUUUGGUUACGCAAGGAAUUGUUGCUCCAACCUUUAUGGAUUUCUUACCUAAUCCCACCUGCUUAGACUCAGUUAUCUGGACUUUGCAUCCCAGUAUUGUUUACUCUACUUCAUCUGCUUGGCAAGCUCUUAGAACCAAGGCCUCUCCUGCUCCUUGGAGUAGAGUUAUCUGGUUCCAUAUACAUGUACCUCGAUGGGCUAUAAUUGAAUGGAUGGCCACCUUAGGUCGGUUAUCCAUUAAGCACAGGUUACUAAGUCGGGGGAUUGCUACAAAUGACCUCUGUGCUCUCUGUGGUACUGGUCAGGAAUCCCACGGUUACCUCUUUUUGGCUUGCACCUUCUCCACUUGUGUUUGGUCUCAUUUCUUGUGCGAGAAUGAUGUUUCUACACCUCUCCUUAACCUUCAAGGAGAAUUGAACUGGGCAAAGCUUCACAGGGGUUCUUCCAGCUUUCAGCACAUUGUUUUCAAACUUUCCUUGGCUGCUUUCAUUUAUGGAUUGUGGUGUGAAAGAAACAGAAGGAUCUUCAGAGCUUUGAGCUUGACUACUGGGGAGCAUGGUGCUAAAGUUGAAUCUGAUUUGAGGGUAUGUAUCUCUUCUUGGAGCUGGAUCAUCCUUUUUUGGCCGAAAAAUAAAGCGGCUUUCUUUCAAAUUGAUGGGGAUAAAGCACCCGGGCGAGAUGGUGUUCCAGCUUCUUUUUUUGCGAGCAUCAUUGGGAGGUGGUUCAGGGGGACCUUAUUCAUUUUGUGCUCUCAGCUCCCAACUCUGGUUGUCUUCUUCGAGAGGUAAAUAAAACGUUCAUUGCUCUUAUUCCUACGGAAGGUCUCCUCUGUCUUUGUAAUUAGCGUGCAAAGUGGUAGCCAAAGUGUUGGCUUUCUCUGAUUGAUUAGUCCCAAAAUGCCUUUAUUUCUGGGCAUGUUAUUUCACAUCCUCUUUCUCAAUUCCCCUUCUCUUCAAUGUGUGAGAAAUAUGUGAGUCCAAAAGUUGGAAGUAGCUGGUAUGUGCACACGUCCACAUUUCCUAUACUAUUCGUUUUGCGUUAUUGUUUUGAUUUC